rnacentral:rRNA from 1 species
UACGUAGGGUGCAAGCGUUAUCCGGAAUCACUGGGUUUAAAGGGUGCGUAGGCGGUGGGGUAAGUCAGUUGUGAAAUUCCCCGGCUUAACCGGUGGGACUGCGAUUGAUACUGCUUCACUUGAAUCAGGUUGAGGUGAGCGGAAUGUGGCAUGUAGCGGUGAAAUGCAUAGAUAUGCCAUAGAACACCGAUUGCGAAGGCAGCUUGCUGGGCCUUGAUUGACGCUGAGGCACGAAAGCGUGGGGAGCAAACAGG